rnacentral:lncRNA from 1 species
GGGAGGCACCCUACGUGGAGAUGGCGUUCACCGAGCACAAGCAGUGCGAGUGCAGGCCCCGGCAGGACCUGAUGAGGUUGGGAAGGAGGAGGUCCAAGGGCCGAGGUAAGAGAAGACAAGACAAGAAGGGACGGAAAGACUGUGAACUGUAAGUGAGGAGGGGCAGGUAUGGGUGGUGUCUUCUGGGUUAAUUUUCUUGGGAUGAGUGUCUUAAUUAAGCAUUUAGAUCUUUACUGACACUGUGAACUGUGAAAGGUUUGUGCACAGCAGACACAGAAGAAAGCAGGAGGGAACAGUGGCUGUGGGGAAACAGGCCUUUUACUGAAGACUCAAUAGGUGCUUGGUAGUCUCCAGGAUCAGCAGCUCAAAGUUGGGCAGAAUGGGG